rnacentral:tRNA from 1 species
CGCGGGGUAGAGCAGUUGGUAGCUCGUCGGGCUCAUAACCCGAAGGUCGUAGGUUCAAGUCCUGCCCCCGCUAC